rnacentral:rRNA from 1 species
UUCGGAUUGUAGUCUGCAACCCAACUACAUGAAGCUGGAAUCGCUAGUAAUCGCGGAUCAGAAUGCCGCGGUGAAUACGUUCCCGGGUCUUGUACACACCGCCCGUCACACCAUGGGAGUCGGAAAUGCCCGAAGUCUGUGACCUAACCGUAAGGAAGGAGCAGCCGAAGGCAGGUCGGAUGACUGGGGUGAAGUCGUAACAAGGUAUC